UGGAGAUAAUGGCAUGAUGGAUACAUUUUUUUACCAGUUUUGAGUUUAUUUACACAUGAGAUGCACCAACGACCCUCCAAAAAGUUGCUGCUGCUACUUCACUCGGGGCAGCUUAUUAGUUAUUUAGUACACACAUUUUAACGAGCGAAGAACUGCUAGUACUACACAAUCUUUCUCGAUCAUCCGUCUUCCUGGGAUCUUCCCUCGAGUUCUCUGCCAUGUGGAAUCAACGAGCUUGCAUGUCCUAACCCCUCAAGAAAAGACGCACUGCACUGCAUUUGCAGGUUCAG
rnacentral:lncRNA from 1 species